rnacentral:rRNA from 1 species
AGAGUUUGAUCCUGGCUCAGGAUGAACGCUAGCGGCAGGCUUAACACAUGCAAGUCGCGGGGCAGCGGGGGAGAAGCUUGCUUCUCCCGCCGGCGACCGGCGCACGGGUGAGUAACACGUAUGCAACCUGCCCUUGUCAGGGGGACAACCCAGCGAAAGUUGGGCUAAUCCCGCGUAUAUCCCAAGGGGGCAUCCCCUUGGGAGGAAAGCUUAGGCGGACAAGGAUGGGCAUGCGGCGCAUUAGGCAGUAGGCGGGGUAACGGCCCACCUAACCGACGAUGCGUAGGGGUUCUGAGAGGAAGGCCCCCCACACUGGUACUGAGACACGGACCAGACUCCUACGGGAGGCAGCAGUGAGGAAUAUUGGUCAAUGGCCGAGAGGCUGAACCAGCCAAGCCGCGUGAGGGAAGAAGGCCCUACGGGUCGUAAACCUCUUUUGUCAGGGAACAAAAACCGGUACGUGUACCGGGUUGAGUGUACCUGAAGAAAAAGCAUCGGCUAACUCCGUGCCAGCAGCCGCGGUGAUACGGAGGAUGCGAGCGUUAUCCGGAUUUAUUGGGUUUAAAGGGUGCGUAGGCGGACUUUUAAGUCAGCGGUGAAAGCCCGGGGCUCAACCCCGGCGAGCCGUUGAAACUGGAGGUCUUGAGUUGGAGAGAGGUAAGCGGAAUGCGCAGUGUAGCGGUGAAAUGCUUAGAUAUUGCGCAGAACUCCGAUUGCGAAGGCAGCUUACUGGCUCCACACUGACGCUGAGGCACGAAAGCGUGGGUAUCGAACAGGAUUAGAUACCCUGGUAGUCCACGCAGUAAACGAUGAAUGCUGGUUGUCCGGAGGGAUUGACCUCUGGGCGGCGAAGCGAAAGCGAUAAGCAUUCCACCUGGGGAGUACGCCGGCAACGGUGAAACUCAAAGGAAUUGACGGGGGCCCGCACAAGCGGAGGAACAUGUGGUUUAAUUCGAUGAUACGCGAGGAACCUUACCCGGGCUCAAACGGCACAGGCCAGUCGCAGAGACGCGAUCUUCCUACGGGACCUGUGCCGAGGUGCUGCAUGGCUGUCGUCAGCUCGUGCCGUGAGGUGUCGGCUUAAGUGCCAUAACGAGCGCAACCCCCAUCGGCAGUUGCCAGCAGGUAAAGCUGGGGACUCUGCCGAGACUGCCGGCGCAAGCUGCGAGGAAGGCGGGGAUGACGUCAAAUCAGCACGGCCCUUACGUCCGGGGCGACACACGUGUUACAAUGGCGGCCACAGCGGGAAGCCAGGCGGCGACGCUGAGCGGAACCCGAAAAGCCGUCUCAGUUCGGAUUGGAGUCUGCAACCCGACUCCAUGAAGCUGGAUUCGCUAGUAAUCGCGCAUCAGCCACGGCGCGGUGAAUACGUUCCCGGGCCUUGCACUCACCGCCCGUCA